CCUACGGGAGGCAGCAGUGAGGAAUAUUGGUCAAUGGGCGUAAGCCUGAACCAGCCAAGUCGCGUGAGGGAUGAAGGUUCUAUGGAUCGUAAACCUCUUUUAUAAGGGAAUAAAGUGUGGGACGUGUCCUGUUUUGUAUGUACCUUAUGAAUAAGGAUAGGCUAACUCCGUGCCAGCAGCCGCGGUAAUACGGAGGAUCCGAGCGUUAUCCGGAUUUAUUGGGUUUAAAGGGUGCGUAGGCGGCCGUUUAAGUCAGCGGUGAAAGUCUGUGGCUCAACCAUAGAAUUGCCGUUGAAACUGGGAGGCUUGAGUAUGGUUGAGGCAGGUGGAAUGCGUGGUGUAGCGGUGAAAUGCGUAGAGAUGACGCAGAACCCCGAUGGCGAAGGCAGCCUGCCAAGCCAUGACUGACGCUGAUGCACGAAAGCGUGGGGAUCAAACAGGAUUAGAUACCCGUGUAGUC
rnacentral:rRNA from 1 species